rnacentral:rRNA from 1 species
AUAAUAUAAGAUUUGACCUGCCCACUGAAUUAAUUGAAUGGCCGCGGUAUUUUGACCGUGCAAAGGUAGCAUAAUAAUUAGUUUUUUAAUUGAAAGCUGGAAUGAAUGGUUGGACGAGAAAAUUUCUGUCUCUUUUUAAUUUUUGUUGAAUUUAAUUUUUAAGUUAAAAAGCUUAAAUUUUUAUGAAAGACGAGAAGACCCCAUAGAGUUUAAUAUAUUUAUUUGUUUUUUUUAAAAGGUAUUAUUUUAGAAUGGUCAAUUAAAUAUAUUUUGUUGGGGUGACAGUAAGAUUUAAUAAACUCUUUGUUUUAUAAACAUUAAUUUAUGAAUAUUUGAUCCGUUUUUUACGAUUAUAAGAUAAAAUUACCUUGGGGAUAACAGCGUAAUCUUUUUAGAGAGUUCUUAUUGAAAUUAAGGGUUGCGACCUCGAUGUUGGAUUAAAAUUAAUUUUUGGUGCAGUAGCUGAAAUAUUGAGUCUGUUCGACUUUUGAAAUUUUACAUGAUCUGAGUUUAAACCGGUGUGAGCCAGGUUGGUUUCUAUCUUUAUUUAUUUAAGGUGUUUUAGUACGAAAGGACCAA